AGGGCGCGCCUUCCUAUUAAGGUCGGGCCAAUCAUUGUCCGAAAUACUUAUCGUAAAACACCGUUUUACAUAUUGUUAUUAGUCGUAUUGCAUUCAGAAAACCAAUAUACUAAUUGCUGGUGAAUUAUUAUAAAUAGCAUUGGUUACUACUCCAAACCAGUGAGUAAUAAUGAAGAGGAGUAGUCGAGGAACAUUUGGAUGGGACUCGAAUUUAACAAGUAACAGGUUAAACUUUAUGAUGAGACCCAUAGGAUCUUAUAAAAAAAUUUAGAAAUUUGCAAAAGAAUAAGAAAACGUAGUAUUUACAAAAAAUGCUAAGGUCUAGUGAAUCUCAUCUUACAAGUUGAGGGUUAAAUGAUGGGAGAAAUAUCUUUUAUGCCGCUUGAAUACCAUGGAAUACAGGUGAACAUACCUUUUACACUGGUUCUCGAAGCGUCUCCUUCUUCGGGCACAAUUAGAACUGCACAAUGUAAGUUUAAGUCACGAAUAGCUCACAACCGUUAUUUUACCGGCAAUGUAAAGGAUUUAAAAGACUAGUCAAGAAUCAGUUUCACUUUUCUUUAUAUUAAUUACAGAAUUUGUACGAAACAUUCAGUUUGGUGAAUAUAUUUUAGCGUCUUAAUCGAACUUGUUCCGCCAUUGCUCUUGUUAGUUCUUGAAACUGACAAAUAAGGGCGCUCGAAUCAGGGAAAAAGGUGAAGACCAAGCUUUAAACACAGAAUUAUCCUAAGAACGAACCGGAAAAAAUAUCAAAUAUAGUUUACACAAAUGUAUAUAUGAAAUUUAUAUACAAAAAUCUAUUGAAAGUAUGUAUUAUGAACAUAUAUCUUCAUUUCUUUUUCUUAACAGUAAAGUAUGUAUAGUAUGUUUUCGACCUGAUGGCAUAGAGAGAGUGAAUCUACAUGAAAAUACAAGUUAAAAAUAUAGAGUGACAUUUCCUCGUACGAGGCUUUAUUUUUCACUAAAUCAAUGUUGAAAAUUCAUCGAAUUUUAAAAAAUCGCGAGAACAAGUGGCACCAUCUAUUGUUUGGUGCGUAAAAUGAGCUUUUUGAUUUCGCCGAUAGGAUGCGCAAAAAAUAUAUUUAUUUUUAGUUCUCGCCAUUAGCAUAAGGCGGCGCUAUUAUAUUUUAAAAAGCGUCCCCUAGUAGCGGUAACAAGAAGUAAAAGUCAAAGUAAUUUUUGACACUUGCGCUAAAUGACACCACUUGUUCAUUGGCGCAUUUUUUUAAAUCGGAUAAAUUUCAACAUUGAUUUAUUCGAAAAUGAAGCUUUGUACCAAAAGUGUUAUUCUACCUUUCUAACUUAUAUUUUAAUGUGAUUUCACUGCUUUCUGCGGUUGUGCAAUCAAAUCGGAAGCACUGUAUAUAUGUGCGAAAAUUUUAAGAUCAGAAACAAACAUUUUUAAGUACAGAAACAAAUAUAAGUACAGUCGGACAUACUUAAUAAUUCUUUUUAUUUUAUUAUUAUUAUUACUGCACUAUAUACAAUAAACACGUUGUUAGUUACAUUUGGCAGUAAUAAUUUCAAAAGAAUUUCAAGAUACACAUUUCAGCACCAUGUGUUAGUACAACAAAUAAUGUUUUAGAGACAUUGUGGUCUUCUCAUAUGGUAAAACUGAAAUUUAAAAUUUGCUGUAACAAGUAUUAACAAUGAUUAUAAAUGCAACAUUUUAUUAAUUUUGUUAUUAUUAAUAUUCAUUUAUAGUUUCACAUACUAUAUUUAUACUUUAAAUAUGAAACUUUUUAUUAUUAAAGAUAUGUUACUUACAUAAAAAAUCACAAUCAGAAUUAAUAUAUUUUAAUAGAUAAGUAAUGCUGAAACAAAAUUCCAUCAUUUCUGUUCUAAUUAUACUUGCGUCACUUGUGUUACCGUAUGAUUUGUACCCGUGCGUCCAUUAUUUUCUAGAAAAAUCUGUUUUCCAAUACUGGGAAUUUUCCAACUGUUGCAGAAAAGUUCAUUGAACGUUUUUCUAAAUUGUCUACUCAUUGUGCAAUAAAGUAUGAAAUUUAUAGCUGAGUUUACAAGGGUUAACAUAUCGAUAACGUCACCUAAAAAUUAAAAUCACAAUAAUUAAAACUGAUUACAAUAAGCAAUUGCUGAUAUUACUUUUAUUAUUAAUAAAUUAAGGAAAUAUAUCAAACAUCUUCCAUUAAUGUUAAACUACAAAAAUUUGAUAAAUAAUAAUUACUAGUAUAUGUAUAUUGGAUUACUUUUGAAAUUUUACUGUUGUUCUGUUUACUGAUAUUUAUUCAAUAAAUGCUCCUCGACUUUUUAACCUUUCUCUCAACUGUGUCGCGCUUUUAGUACUGAUACAAUACUCUACAGCUUUUGUAUUAAAGUGACGAUAAAACUCUUUCAUAAAAGCAGAAAUCAGAUCAAAGGAAAAAAACUAAUACCUAUGUAAAAAAAAUGCUCCACUUUUAUGCAGCAAACAUUUUUUCUUCUCUUUCAAUUAAAUUUCGAAAAAUGAAACGAUAAACAUUUUACUGGUAUACUCAUUCUAUGAAAAUUUGAGCUCCAAAUUGAUAUAACAUAAGUGCUAUUUUGUGAAAUUUUUAUUCUCUGAAAUCAUGUCAAACUUUUUACGUUUUGAAAUCGACCAGUUGAUGUACAACAACAUAAUAUUUGAAGAUACCUGUAUCACAUGCAACGUAAACUUUUCUCGAUAAAGGAAAAAUAUAAAGAAGGAAACCUUCUUUUUCUUGGUCUCGCAAGUUGAGCAGAAGCAGAAGUCAAGUGAAUAGUGGAAGACUUCUUUCUGUACGCUUCUUCUUAAUCGAAAGCCGCUUCCGUUGCACACAGAUAUACCAUAUCCGAAAAGACUACGUAGAAUUGUUAUUUUAAUCCUGCUGUUAAAUGUAACUUUCAGUGGAAUUUCACACCGGAGGAUUAAACUUUUCUUUGAAGGUAUCAUUUUUUUAUAUACUCGUAUAUUAUUGGACAUUCUAGGUGGUUUUUAGUCAGUUGAAUUUUUAACUUAAAAAAUGAUGUGAAAGAAAGUUUGCUGAGCCAGUAUAAGUACUAACCCAGCAUCAAGUAACAAGUCCGGAAAAAUCCUGGACCAAGGAGCACACUAAAAAGUCCCAGUAUUCCCUGGGGUAGUUCUGUCAAUAAAAAAAGCAGCAAAACUGCGAGCAACAUCAUCGUGGUCCGAUCAGUUUGCCGUUCUUUUUCAGCUCUUCGACAGCUUUUCUUCCUUUCAGAAUUUUCCUCCUGAAUAUUCGUUAACUUUCGCCUUCUCCGUUUUGCCUCCAACAGCACUUGAAGAAGUUUCAAGCUGACAAUCGUUAGAACAAGGCAAGGAAAAAGUUUUAUUACCACACUGUAGAUCCAAAAAUUUAAUUCCUUCAGGAUGUCAUGAUUCUUCAUCGUUUCGCUUAAUCGAACAAAAUACAGUGUUACGUUCGUUGUGUUUUCUAAUGGUACAUCUAAAAAGGUAAACGUUUUUUAAUAAGAUAAAUUGAAAAAAAAAAGAAAGAAAAAUAACUACGGGAACACGUAGCGAUUGGAAACGAAGUUUAUACAAUGAAAAUGCAAAAUUCUGUACGUUCGAUCAUACUGAAAAAUUAGUGUUGCAAAUAUCGGAAUAUCUCUGGUCUUAUCGCUUUUUGUCAAGUUGAAAAAAAAUGUAUGAAAAUAAAAUAAUGAAAUAGAAAACAUAGCAUCAGAGAUUGGACGCGCUUCGUGUGUUCAAGAAUGCAUAUUAACUGAGCAGAGCUUUUAAACAUUGAUAUUUUAAGCUUUGUAAAUUAUUUGCUGUUAUACAAACAGUAAACUUUUAACUGCUAUAUUAAUUGACGUAUACGUUAUGAUAGUUAAAGUGCUUUUUCUAGUAAACCCAUUAAAUAUAGUAUUAAAAUUUUCUUUUCUUCAUUAAUAUCCAAUACGUAAAAUAUCAAAUGUUCCAUAAUAACCACUUUUAAAAUAAAUGGCUAUUUUUCUUUUCAAUAAAAUCUCAUAUAUUUAAAACGCUCAUGAAUUGUUUUUUUGCAAACAAACAUUCGCGAAUAAAAUUUCCACAGAGUAUCCAGGUCAACUUUUAGACACCGAAAGAUAUUUCUCUGCAUAUAUUCAGAAAAUACCCAACUGUUAGAAGAACUGUUCAAACAAGUACAAGAAAAAAGCUUAUGGCACAUCGCAAGAAUUAGUUAUGUAAUAUUCUUCUAACGAAUGAGUGGAAACGAGCUUUUCGAAUUAAAUAGUUAUAACAAGGUCGUUGCAUAAAUGUCAGUCGAUAUACAAUUAAAAGUUUAGAACAAUAAUUAACAUUUUUCGUGCAUUAAUGCAUGCUCGUUUUAAAAUAGAAACAGAGGAAGGGUAAUGCGCGUUAACUGCUUACCGAUCAAGCUUCGAUUUCGAAUAUUUAUGCUCAUUCCAUUGGGAUCCAACACCUCUACUUGUUUUUUCACUUCUGUCGUAAUGUACAGAGGUAUACAAAGCACAGGGCAAAAAACGUACGCAACGAAAAUUGCAAAAAUAGUUCGUCUGUAACUACACCACUCUCUGUUCUGUUGUGGCCUUGCCACCGCCACGUAUCUCCAGACAGCCAAUAUUAACGUCAAACAAAUUGAAAUAGUAUGACAAACCUGUGAAAAUUUAAUUGGAAAUUCAAUUAACACAACCGUACCCUCCUUUUCCUUUUCUUUAGGUUGUUUAGAAAAUCUCAUUGACAGUUCCUUUUCUUAGUACCGGUAAUUUUAUACACAAAGAAUAAUGUUGUGGUUCUGCGAAGCAGAACUUUCCUAUGCUUAUCUUACAACUGUUGCUUCUCUAGUUGAAACAAGAUUGAUCAACUUGUUGGUCUUUCAAGAACACGGAAUUACGGUAUAAUGAAAUAAAGCUAAAUUCAUUUCUUGUUGGACUGCAAUUUAGCCUUUAAUUAAAGAAGAAGGAGGAUGCAGUAUGUUGGAUUGAUUGGUUUCCAAACAUGUAGGUCAAUCCUCAUCAAACAAAGCAAGGAAACGAAGGUUCCCGUAAGAAUGCGACCAACCGUAAAUACCGAAACGACUUUACAGGACAUCGGUGCACUAUAAUUUCUUUUUAUGGUUACCUGAGCGAAGUUUGAGUGAAACAGCACGAAGAUAGUCCAUCCGUAGGUGAACGUGUCUCGUCUGGAUCGUCGGUACAGAUAAAGAUGAAUCGCGUGAUCUCAUCUCUCGCCGAGUCAGAACGAGAAUGUUCAAAAUGUUUGCGAUCGAACCAAAAAUGCAAACUAAGAGUGAGAUCCAGCCGUGCAGCUGCGAAUAAUGUGAGUGAAACGAGGAUAAGUUGCAAACAUAGUAGCUCGAGGUAGUGUUAAAAUUCAUGUUCGUUGUAAAUGCGUUUCCUCCUUUUCCUGUUUCCCUUCUUUUUUUCUUCCUUUUUCUUGCAAAUAGGUUCAGUCGGUGUUCGUAAAAUCUAUUAAUCUUCUUCGAUGUUUGAAUGUCCAGUAUAAGGCAAUAAUUCUCAGCGAGAUGUCCCCGGCUAUCGGACGGACACCUACGGAACACGGAGAUUCUUUAAAUAUUUGAAAACUAGUCCGCGAAUCCUUGUUCGAUAGGUUCCCUCGUAAAUUUUUCCCUGCCGUAAACUAAAAUAAUCAAAGCAGAGAAAAUAGGUGUUUGGUAUUCUUCAAACAAGUUCCUUCGAUUUCCUAGAAAAAGAUUUUUCUUUUGUAUCUAACGUUUUUAAAAAUACUUUCAGUUUUGUUUGUAUUAUUUCUGGAAUCUCUUUCGAUUCGGGUAAUUGUUUUUGAAAGUAAGCUGGCAACUUCCUCUUGAGAGUACGCUGGGUUACUUAAAAAUUCCUGGCACUUUCCUGUUCGAUCCUCGAGAAAAUAUCCCCUCAACUUCGUUUCCACUCUUUGAAAAGUAUUUCCGUGAAGCCUUGUUCCUUUAUCCUCAACGGGUUUUCAGGAAAUGGUCCUUUAUCCUUAACGAUGUACUUCGGAUAGAGAAAUGUUGCGAUUCCGCAGAUCCGUCAAGCUCAUCGGUAAUGUUUUCUUUCAAUCUCUUCGUGGCAAUCGCAGAACACUGCCUUUUUAUGCAGCCUGAAUGGAUUCAACAAGUAAUUCUCAACAUGUUACUUAUAUAUUUCCUUUACCUUUUCUCUUUUUCGUACAAUAUAAGGUACAAUUGCAACUAUAUUUUAAACAUUAUUUAAAAAUUUUUGAAUAUUAUUUUAGCGCAUCGGUGCCAGUUUUAAUUCGGUAUAUUAAUUUUAAUUCUAAAACUAAUGAUGAAUUUAAUUUCAUUUAGGUAAUUAAUAUUUAUUCGAUACUUAGCGAUAUUCGAACUAAAUUAAAGUCACACUAGAGAAUGCAACAAACGAACAGUGGAUAAACAACCGGUGUCGUUUCCCAGGUGCACCCGAGCGCUGCGACGUCGGUCGAGCUAGUGUCGUCGCGCCGUUAUCGCUCUUUUAGCCGCCCCGAAAUUUUAACGCAGACGCAGAUCAUUUGUCUCCCCCUUCUCUUCAUCCCUUCUCUCAUUUCGGUCUCUUUUUCACCAACUUUCAUUUAUCAUUUUACUCAUCUAAGUACUUGAUUAAUCAUUCAUUCAUCUUCUCUCUGUAUCUUUCUUCUUUGCGUUCAUUCCAUUACUUAGACAGGGUGUUUGAAGAAAAAUAUACAUCAUAAAUAUUACAAAUCCUCUGUGAAAAAAAAAAGAAAAAAUGGAGAGUUCUUUAGCUUUUUAUAAUUCAAUUUUUGGCACUGCCUGUUUAAGUCUUCAGCGAAAGAGCGAAUGACUAAUAAAUGAAGAGAUACGCACAUGCAUCUAUAGCAAGCACUAUGGAAAAGUAAUAGAUGGUUUACGUUAGUCUGUUUGUUACAAAAACAGCUAAAAGGAAAUGAUUGCUACUGUUUAGAAGUGCUUAUUCUGUGCGCUUACGCAUCACUAUAUGCGAUCCUCUCUGUGGGGGGUGAACUUUUGUAACCAUACAUCAGUUAUUCACUCACAAGGGCAGUUCUCGAAGUAGUAAACUAAGUACUUGAUAGUUCAUUUAAAAACGCUUUCCACUGUUCCUCAUUUUUCGUCCAUUAAUAAAAAAAAAGAAA